UACGGGGGGGGGCAAGCGUUGUUCGGAAUUACUGGGCGUAAAGGGCUCGUAGGUGGCCAACUAAGUCAGACGUGAAAUCCCUCGGCUUAACCGGGGAACUGCGUCUGAUACUGGAUGGCUUGAGUUCGGGAGAGGGAUGCGGAAUUCCAGGUGUAGCGGUGAAAUGCGUAGAUAUCUGGAGGAACACCGGUGGCGAAGGCGGCAUCCUGGACCGACACUGACGCUGAGGAGCGAAAGCCAGGGGAGCAAAGCGGG
rnacentral:rRNA from 1 species